rnacentral:lncRNA from 1 species
CUGAUGGUACCUGCACGUCUCAUCGUUUUCUGCCGAAGCAAACACUCUACGAAAUCAUCAGAUUCUAUCUUGCACUCUUUCUCUGCCCGGAUAACACUGAUUCCAUAUGCACAUUCUAUCCAUUCUUUUUCAAAAGCAUGGCAUCGAGCAGCAAUCUUGUAGGGCUGUUCAGCACUCUGGAUUGUCCACCAUUGAUCUAUGUUAAGGCCGAAUCUUUUCUGGAUGGCCAAGAAAGGCAUGGUGAUCCGAUGCUCAUGUCUUUGUGUCUUCUCUGGCCGCCGCUUCAGGAUGACCCCUAGUCUACUUUUCACCACACUGUGCUGCUCCCUGAAUUUCUCUGCUCCCACCUCCUCUGGGUCCAGUUUAGAGUGAAUUCAGACCGGGAACGCAGGUCUUCAGCAGCUUCAGGGGCAGGAACAAGAGGCAGCCUAGUGAGAAUUUACAAGGAUCAUGGCCUUAUAAAUAGCAUCCACUUAUUCAUUCAGCAAACAGUUUCUGGGGAUCUACUACGUGAUGUAUUAAAAUGAUUAGGACCCAAAUUGUGUUGUUGAGGAAUUAGUCUGGGGACACUGUUCAUGAAACAAGUUGCACAAUGACAAUACAAGGAGAUGUCCGAGUAGUAGAGGCAUAGGAAGAUGGGAUUGGUGGGGCUGGAGAGAAUUCAUCCUUCAUGCAGCGUUUUCUAGGCUGGAUGGAUGGCCUGCAUCCUCAAACACAGACGCACAUGUCUUAUUUAAUUCUCACAACACAGCGGAUUGAAAAUAUCU